rnacentral:rRNA from 1 species
UACGUAGGUGGCAAGCGUUGUCCGGAUUUACUGGGCGUAAAGGGCGUGCAGGCGGUUUGUUAAGUCUAGGGUGAAAGCUCCCGGCUCAACUGGGAGAGGUCCUUGGAUACUGGCGAACUUGAGGGAUGCAGAGGAAAGUGGAAUUCCCGGUGUAGUGGUGAUAUGCGUAGAUAUCGGGAGGAACACCGGUGGCGAAGGCGGUUCUCUGGGCCUUACCUGACGCUGAGGAGCGAAAGCGUGGGGAGCGAACAGG